CUGGGACUGCUGCUUGGCCUCUAGCAUGGCCUUGGCCUCGCCCUUUGCCCCUCGUAGGAGCUACUGCUGAGGGCUCGGGCUACUGCACAAUAGAAGAAGAAGCACGUGUUCACACUAUCUGUGGAAGAAUAGAGUAGAAAGACAAUCAAUAUUUUAGGAACAGAAUCGCACAACAAGAAAGAACAUGGUGAAAUUUUUCCUAAUUCCGUAGCCUCUGGGAAUAAAUACAGACGUCUCCGUACCGAUCCCUUAAACUCUACCAAGUUUGUCCGUGAACUGUGAAACCUAUGUAACCUAGUGCUCUUAUACCAACUUGUCACAACCCAGAUUUUUUCACUCUCGGGAGUCGUGAUGGAACCUACUAACGGAUCUAGGCAAGCAAACAAUUAAACAUUUCCUUGAGAACAUUCGUAGAGUGCUACUAAAUAGUCUUAAUAGGAAAUACAUAAUAUAUGUCUCGGUACUAGAAAACAAAUUGAAAAUAUGAAAAGGGACUUCGGCCUACGAACACCAGCUAGGCUACCUCGUAAGUCCCUGGACUGAAGUCAACUCCCGAUCAAUACAUUACUGCUGUAAUCCAAAAGUUGUUCCGGUAUUGUAAUCUGUGCAAAAAGAACAGUAGUGUAGCAUCAAUACAACCGACCCCAUGUGCUAGUAAGUGCCCGACCUAACCCCGAAAAAGUAGUGACAAAGCUAGACCCGACUACCAGGUAAACCUGUACAGAUAUGAAAUAUACUUUGCGAAAAAUAAGCAGGAGAUAAGCAGUUUAUAAAAGGAGGGGAAAACAUGAUGUGAGAACAACAAUUAUAAAAAAGGAGUCUAAAUAAAGGUAAAUCAGCCAAUAAAACUCAAGUCCGGAAAUAACACAUUUAUCCUAUACUUGUUGCGGCGCGCUACCUGAUCAAUUCACUAUGCAACCCGAUCCACAUGCUUAUGGUAGUGUUGCGGCGUGCAACACGAUCCGUAUGGAUAUUAUUUAUCCUUAUUGUGGUGCGCAACCCGAUCCAUAUGGAUAUUAUAUACUUGGUUGCGGUGCGCAACCCGAUCCGUGUGGAUAUUAUUUAUACUUGUUGUGGCGUGCAACCCCACCCACUACGAUCAUACUUUCUCAUCCAAAUAUCAAUCACAAUUACCGAGCAAGAAAAGAAUAACCAGUAAAGAAAUCCCGACAAGAGAACAUAACUACACAACUAAAUCCCAGCAAGGGAGUAAAUCAACAACACCAAUAAAACCUCCUGGCAAGGGAGCAACAACAAUAACCUUCACAUCCCGGCAAGGAAAUAACUACCACACUUUCUCUUUUGAUCACUUCUUUCUCAAUUAUCAUAUUCUCAUUCGAGUCAACGCUCCCAUAAGGUACAAAUCAUAAUUCUUCCUCAAACCUUUCACAUUAUAUGAAACUUAUCAAUUAAACAAGGAAGAGGUAUCACAAAGUCCGAAUAAACAUAAUUAAGACUCACGGUCAUGCUAGACUCCAGUGUAUAGAUACUCCUCACCAUACCUAUACACCGUACUCAGCAAUUAGCAAAUAGCAAAUAGCAAAUAACAUUUUAAUCCUAUUUUCUCAAGCCAAAGUUAGAACAAACACUUACCUUGAAUGCUCUAAACUCGAAUCACUCUAGUAUAGCUUUGCCCCUCGAAUUUACCACCAAACCAUUCGAAUCUAGUCACAAAUUGCUAGGAUGCAUUAACAAAUGUUACUUGAAUCAAUUUGAAUGCAUGAAAAUGAAUUUCCCAAAGUUAUAUUAAAAAUUCCCAAAAUACCCAUGGGCUCACAUGGUCAAAACCCGAGGUUUGAACAAAAAACCGAUUACCCAUUCCCCAUGAGACAAGAUAUAUGAGUUAUUUAGGAAUCGAACCUUGAAUUGAGGUCUAAAACCCCUAAUUUUUGAAACCUUAGGUUCUACCCUAAUUUCCAAAAAUUUUCCAUUAAAAUCUUAGUUUUGAAGUUGAAAUUAUGUUUAAAGAUGUUAAGGAGUGGAGAAAAUAAGUUAGAAAUCACUUACCAAUCGUUUUGAAGAAAAAAGAAUCGUUUAGAAUAUCGCCUCUUAUGUUUUGGGUUUUGAAAAAGUGAAAAAUGAAUGAAAAUCCCGACUUUAUAUACUUCACUGAAGGUCGGUGCAGACCACACAAAAAUAAACGACGGCCGCGCCGAGGAAGGGAAGAAAAUGACUCUCUGUACCUACCCAGCGCGGACGGCACUAAUUUGGUGCGUGACCAUGCUGGCUGACCUGGAAUAUUACUGGCUCUCUACCUGCUUAAUUAAUGAUGAUGAGUCCUUAAACUUCAAAUGUGAUCACUAUUGGCGUUAACUAAUAUCAAUAAAGAUGACAGUAAUGUCAACAUGCUAAACCAGAUUGGAAAUGAAAUCAGAACAGACAUCAAAUGUACACUUCCAAACCAAUUACAAGUACCCUACUUUUAUAUUCCUAUCCAGUGUACCAUGAAACUAAUAUUAAAUCACAUUAUGUCUAUGCUAGCAAACAUCAAUUAAAAGCCUUAAGCAAUCCAAUUUAAAUCAGCUAGCAUGGGAGUUUAAGCAUUCUCUACUUCAUGACUACUAAAUGGAAUAAACAUCAAAUUCACAGUCAUAUAUACAGUCCGAUUUCCAGGUUCAUGCUUAAUUACAUUCAUGAAAUCGACUAAAUUAUACAAAAUCAUUCACUCGAAUAACAGUAUCAAACAAUAGAUCUAAAGUAACAACUUCAGUUCCAUUUCAUUUUCAUGCAGGGAAUCUACAUUGAAACAAGCUCAAAUGUAUACCUGGAUAAGGGAAAUAUGAGAAGAAAAAGAGGUAAGUAGUAACUUCGAACAGCCAUCAGCAAACACCACAGCAAUACGCCUUCAGAACUGAGCUUAAAUGCCUUUGGAAUUCCACCAAGGUACAAUAACCAGAAAAAUCAACUCGAGCAGACCCAAACCUAUUCAACUAGUCAUUAAAUACCUCUAAAAUGCUUUUAAAACUCGAAAUUAGAUCAGAAAUGGAGAAGUCCAAAUAGGAAUUGAAAAUGAACAAGCUAAGUAAUGGAACAGUAAGCCUUUUUUGAUUUUUUGUUUGUUUUCUAAUUUUUUUUUUUUGAAUAACUGAAUUUCAAACUUGGAUCUGAAAUCUAAAAUGGAGGGGGAGCUAUUGGAAGAGACUGUUUUUUACCGUUCCAAAAGAGACCCCUUCACCAAGGCAUUUGAGUGCCCUUUUAUAGGCACCAAAGAGGUGAGCAAUCAAAUUUUGGAUUUUUCUUAUAGUCCCUCCCUAUUUUCAACUAUUAAACCCCUUAUUUGUUGACUUGUGACUCAAGCAGGUAUACUCAUUCUCUGAGAUUCUAAUUCUACACCCUCUCCAGAAGCUUAUGACGUAUUUUAGCUAAAGUCCAUACCCAUACAUUCCCCAAUUGCCAUUAGUUUAUCCUAAAAUUACUAGUUUAGUACAACUACUCCCAAACCAAUCCUAGGAUAUGAAUUUCAACUAAAAAAACGUACUCCUAAUUCAAUUAUUAACUAACCUAUCUAUUAAAACCAUUUAACAGCAACAAUCUUCAAAAUUAAUCACAAACUGAAACUUAAUCGGAAUAAACGAUAUUUAAAUGUUCAUUAACUAACAGACUCAUAAGUCGUCAAACAGAAAAAUUAAGGCAAAACCAACCAUUAAUCGAAAAAUAAACCAACACCUAUAAAAUAAGAUGACUCAGCAAAUAAGAACGAAUUUAAAACGGGCUUGAAGAAACUUAAUGACUUUCGGAUUAAUAAUUAUUACUAAACAAUUCUAAAAAACCAAACUGUCAUGCAAAGCAAAAAUCAACAGCAAGAAAAAUAAAGAAAAGAAACUAGUGAACUUACUGGCUUAUCUUCAGGAAACCAAUCAAUUUUCAAAGAUCGCAUUCAGCCAACUCCGGUAAAAAUUUGCCCCUAAUGGUAACAAAUUCCUCAUGAGGGAAGCCUAGAGACCCAAUGGUAUCAAUUUUGAGCGAUUUAGGGCAGUUAGGGUUUUGAGUUUAAAAUUGAUAUUCGAACAUUACCGGCCAUGUUCGAGGGACGAGGUUAGGGGGUUGGGUAGAGGAGGCUCAGCAAUCUAAUGGUGUUAAUUUGGUUGAUUUGGAUGAAGUUGCGUCGUGGCCGGAAAAACUUCGAUCCGAUAUUUGAAGCUUUUGACCGUGAUUUGAAGUAAAUGAUUGGUUAUGGAUUUGGGAUGAGGGGAGUCAAGAGUGUUAUCUUUGGGUCGAUUGGAGACGGUGGUGUUCGCCGGCGGUGGCGGUUCCGGCAGAGUCGCAGAGAAGGUACGAGGAAGGAGGAGAUUGUCUUAAGGUUAAAAAA
rnacentral:lncRNA from 1 species